rnacentral:misc_RNA from 1 species
CGCACAUUGCGCCCAUUAGUAUUCUAGUGGGCAUGCCUGUUCGAGCGUCAUUUCAACCCUUAAGCCCUGCUUAGUGUUGGGAGCCUACUCCGCCGGACCUACCCUAUAGCUACCCUGUAGCGCGGGCGAGGUUACCCUGUAGCUCCCCAAAUUCAUCGGCGAAGACGUGAUGUCCUCUGAGCGUAGUAAACUAUUCUCGCUUCUGUAGGGCUCGCGGAUUCUGCCGUCAAAACUAUAAUUCUAAUGGUUGACCUCGGAUCAGGUAGGAAUACCCGCUGAACUUAA